GUGGGUAGGGACGUCACCUAGGCGACGAUCCCUAGCUGGUCUGAGAGGAUGACCAGCCACACUGGAACUGAGACACGGUCCAGACUCCUACGGGAGGCAGCAUG
rnacentral:rRNA from 1 species